rnacentral:rRNA from 1 species
GUGGGGAAUCUUGCGCAAUGGGCGAAAGCCUGACGCAGCCAUGCCUCGUGAAUGAUGAAGGUCUUAGGAUUGUAAAAUUCUUUCACCGGGGACGAUAAUGACGGUACCCGGAGAAGAAGCUCCGGCUAACUUCGUGCCAGCAGCCGCGGUAAUACGAAGGGGGCUAGCGUUGCUCGGAAUUACUGGGCGUAAAGGGCGCGUAGGCGGACAGCUUAGUCAGAGGUGAAAGCCCAGGGCUCAACCUUGGAAUUGCCUUUGAUACUGGCUGUCUUGAGUUUGGGAGAGGUGAGUGGAACGCCGAGUGUAGAGGUGAAAUUCGUAGAUAUUCGGAAGAACACCAGUGGCGAAGGCGACUCACUGGCCCAAUACUGACGCUGAGGCGCGAAAGCGUGGGGAGCAAACAGGAUUAGAUACCCUUGUAGUCC